rnacentral:rRNA from 1 species
ACGGAGGGCGCGAGCGUUGUUCGGAAUCAUUGGGCGUAAAGCGCGUGUAGGCGGCUGGGCAAGUCGGAUGUGAAAGCCCGGGGCUCAACCCCGGAAUUGCAUUCGAAACUGCCUGGCUCGAGUCUCGGAGAGGAGGGCGGAAUUCCCGGUGUAGAGGUGAAAUUCGUAGAUAUCGGGAGGAACACCAGUGGCGAAGGCGGCCCUCUGGACGAUGACUGACGCUGAGAUGCGAAAGCGUGGGGAGCAAACAGGA